UACAGGGGGGGCAAGCGUUGUUCGGAAUUACUGGGCGUAAAGGGCCAGUAGGCGGCCGACUAAGUCCGACGUGAAAUCCCCAGGCUUAACCUGGGAACUGCGUCGGAUACUGGAUGGCUUGAAUUCGGGAGAGGGAUGCAGAAUUCCAGGUGUAGCGGUGAAAUGCGUAGAUAUCUGGAGGAGUACCGGUGGCGAAGGCGGCAUCCUGGACCGACAUUGACGCUGAACGGCGAAAGCUAGGGGAGCAAACGGG
rnacentral:rRNA from 1 species